AUGGCUCAUGGAGUAUAUGAAGUCUUAUGGCUAAAAAUCAUACUGAUGGAGUUGGGUCUAUUCCAGGCAAGACCAUUGAUGAUGUAUUGUGAUAAUAAGGCUGCGCUAGAUAUAGCACAUAACCCGGUUCAACAUUGUAGAACAAAGCACAUAGAAAUUGACCGACACUUUAUCAAAGAGAAACUUGACCAAGGAAUAAUAUGUAUGCAUUAUGUGAGCUCUUCAAACCAACUAGCGGAUAUUUUGACCAAAGGUCUCGCUGAAAAAUUGUUUUCUAGCUUAUGUAGCAAGAUGGGGUUAUAUGGUGUGUUUGCCCCAUCUUGA
rnacentral:rRNA from 1 species